rnacentral:lncRNA from 1 species
GUUUCUUUUGAUGUGCUGAGAGAUCUGACAACAAUUUCCUUUUGGUAAUAACCAGCAGGACCUGAGUAACGGCUGCAUCCCUGAGGUUGAGCAGACAUACUCACCACAUACUUGGCCAGCUUCAUACCAAAGGUUCUUCAGCCUGGUUCCCAAAAGCAUUCAAGUUUGCUUCCUGAAUUCAAAAGUUCCCAGAAGCUUGUCAAGUGGACCUUCGGACCAACACUUGUAAGGCUGAUGUCCAUCUUGACCAGCACCCAGUGCAGCAGUUUGAAGUGUCGUUGACCAAGGCACCCUGCCAUCAGAAAGGGCUGCAUUCGCCCACCAGACUAUAGACGAACUGAUGCUUCUGUCAGAACAGAGAGAUGGCGAACCCUUCAUCAAGUCAUCAUCUACCAAACACCCACCACUUGGUGCCUCAGAUUUUCUUCACAGCCACUUCCUUCUUUCUCUUUAACGUCCACAUCUUUUCCUCUUUGUUGUGUUUAAAUGCAGAUGAUACAGAAUGAAAUUCCUUUGGCGUCUGUGUGCGGGAGUGCACAAAGGUAUUUAUGAAUCCUAAAUGAAGCUGGCUGCAGAGCCAAGGAGUUCCAGCAGAGCGCCGGCGUGCGUGCCCGCCGGAGUCUGAUCUUUUACACGGGAAGCUGCAUUUGAUAUCUCAUUUGUUGGCUGUGUUCCUCACAAAGCCGAGUGUUGUUUAACCCACUUUGCCAUAACAGAAGAAAACUCAGAAGACGAUGGCUGGGUAAGCGGAAGAUGAUCCUACAGACAGGGCCUGAAAUGGUCAGCGAAGGCUUCCAGGGCACGUGGGACAUACUGCCACCUUCUGGCUGGGUGUGGCCCACACUGCGGAGCUCGUGGGUGACCCGGAGAGGACUUCCCUGCCUCCAAAUCACCCAGGGGUUCCAGAAUUGCAGCCUGCACCUUGGGAACCCAGUCACCACAGAGGGAAAAUUUGGAGGACAAAAAUCAGAGAAUAUUCUUCCAAAGGAUGACAGUGGAUUUGAGGGGCCCAAGAUGAUCAAGAAGAGGGGCCUGGGUCUUCAGCCUGUCCCUGCCUGGCUGUGUCCUCUUCUGAGUCCACCUGGCAAAGGCUCUUUCUCACACCGACUGGCAGCCCUGUGAUUGGGAGAAAGCCCGGCUCAGGAGGCCCCUUACCGUCCAGCCCAUGUUUCUCCGGGAGGAGAUGUGAUAGAGCAGAAAGAAGGUUGAGGCGCGGUUCACAAGAGCAUGCUUGAGUCCCCACUGCCGCAGUUCCCAGCUGGGUGAUCCUUCUCAGCGUGGUGCCUCAUCCCCGUGGACCUCUGUCUCAUCACCUGCAAAACCCAGGUAGUAAUUGGCUCCUUCAGAAGACUACAUGACAUUAUAUAGAGCAAAAAGUUGUCCCCUUUAGGCCAUGUAACCCAGAUGUUAUUAGGAAAUGUCACAUUACUAAAAGAAUUCCAAAGGGUUGAAUAUGUUUUUUUUUUCUUUUUAAAAUCACAUAAAAAGUAGUUAUUUAAUUGUGCUCUUUCCAGCCUUAGGG